UAGCUGCCAGUUACCUAACAUAUCUAGCUUACGUACUUUUACUUUGAGUCUUAUAACAUGAAUUCGACCUUUACUGGUGUCACUUUUUGCAUGCGGACAUGUUGGCUAAUGGUGUGAAGAUGAAAUUGUCCUUUCCCAUUGUUAUCAACUUACUGUUUACCAUCUAUAAUACUAGGCUCUUCGCUGUUAUUUCUUUCCCUCCAUAUUUGGAGAUGCAGGUUAAACAAGGGCGUCUCAGAAUUGUUGUGUCCAUGCUCUAAGUAGCAAGAAUAUUAUCUGCAGCAUGGACUUUCCAAAAUUAUUUGUGGAUAAUGCACUCUUGUGAAGAAGACUAACAUUAAAGUUUUCGUUCUUGAUGAUUGUGAUAUCUGACAUGGGGUAACGAAAUUACAGGUUUGUAUGGAAAAAGAAGAUUAAGCGUGACGUCGCCUUUGGUGCAGCUCUUGACAUGUUCUCUAUCAAAGCAGAGAAAAAGAGGCAGAAAAAAAGAAUGGCAGAGAUUGAGAAAGUGAAGAAGAGAAGGGAAGAAAGAGUGCUUCAAAAGGCUCAGCAUGAGGAGGGAAUGGAAUGUUUGGUGCAGUCACCAAAGCAAGAUUUCUCUGGUUGAAUAGGUGAUGGGCUUGAUGGGAGUGAAACUCUACAAGUUUUGCUGGUACAGAAAGAUGAUUUCCAGAGAGCGCGCUGGAGCAGAGUUUCAAGAUUGGGAGAAGAAUGAAGAGGAGGUGCGGCUACUCGUCAUGCUGUAUUUCAAGUUCCCCAUCUCUCGUGGUCUAGCCUUCAGAGACGUCAUUUUGAAUAUGGUGAGUCUUUCACGCAUUUUCUCUUGCAGUUUCACUUGGAUCAAAGCAAAGUCAGGUCAGAGAUCAGAUUGCGUGAAGGGCAUGCAAAAGCGAUUGAUAUCCUAUCUAAGCACCUCAUUGGUUCAUAUGCUCUGGAUA